GAGAGAGAGAGAGAGAGAUUAAUAAUAAUGGUUGGAUUGCUUAAUAUCAAACUUGAACUUUAACCUUUUAAAGGUUCAAAGUCUAUAGAGAAAGAGAUAGGAAAAUGGAGAGGGAGAGAUAUAGAGAUAGAUAGAGUAAUAGCUAUGUUACUUGGACUUGGGUAUGGGUGUCGGAAAUGGUUACAUAUCCAUGUGUCAGAUUUGUGAACUUUGUACACAAAAAAUACAUAAAAAUGGAUUUAAAUUUAGACAUGGGUGCUUGGAUACAUUAUGUAGACCAAUACGGUUGAAGUAAUCUGUUUAAAGGGGGCUAGCCACAAUUAAUUGUUAUCUGCAACUAUUGGAUUCUUGAAAUAUUAAAUAUUUUUUAACUUUUUUUUGUUCCUAUCCUUUAAUUCAAAGUUGCA
rnacentral:misc_RNA from 1 species